ACCCCGUGUUCGGCGAGGCCGCCUCCGUGGAGCUGCCGCCCAGCCUGGCCCUGGAGAGGGUCGACGCCCGCCAAAGCUACUUCGUCAACCCGCUCUUCACCUUCACCGCCGAGGCCGAGGCCCAGGCCUGACCGCGGCUGCCCCGCCCGCCUUCUGCCUGGCCCCCGACCUCUGCCCUCUGACCCCGACCUUCCCUGCUCUCUCCUUGGACCAAGAACCAAUAAAGGGUUUUCUGUG